UUGGCAGAGACAUAUCUCCACAGUGUAUAAAAAGAUUAUUCCACAACAAAACUUGCCUGGUAGCAGGACGAUAUAGAUAGGAGUUGCUGUGGUGUGUAUGUUAUGUCUAUAAUUCAGGCUCUACAAUCACUGUUGUAUAUAUGCCCUGGGUAGACCACUGAACUCUCUGCUUCACUCUGCAUUCUCAGACAUAAUAGAACCCAACUCAAAGGGUUUUGUCAGGAUUUUGUACUGGGCAUACAUCUAGUAAGUGUGUAUUUCUCCUGUUCUUGCUUAGGUAGAGACUGUACAAGCUAGACCCACUAGAGGCUGGGAAUGAAAAAAUAAUGCCACUUUCAGUGUGUUAAAGUGCACACAUGUCAUUCACAUUUUUGUUUUGACAAUGUCCCUGAACAAUGUACAAGACUCGAUGCCUCUUUGUAAGAAGCCAGGACAUCUAUUUUGGCUAUGGCAGCCGUGUGAUUUAUUUGGGAAGGAAAGCGAUGACCAUUAAGAAACCACUUGGAUCUGAUGGAGGCAAUGGCCACUGAGAGGGAGAAAGAACAUGGUGUCUGGACUCCUGCUGCUUCUUCCCAUUGAUGACACUGCCUCUUCUGCUCAUAUUUCAUGAGUCAACAUGGCCACUCCUAACUUUGAAGUGACUGUAGACAUUCUAUGUUACAGUGAGCCUAGGAAGAAGAAGAGAAAUAUUUCAGUGAUGCUGUAAGUAUCCUGUACUGUUGAAAGCAGGUGAUUCCCAUCUCCUACUGAGUCACAGAUGAUUCCCAUCUCCUACUGAGUCACAGAGACCAAGAUCCAGCUGUAACCUUGGCUGAGAUUGCCACAACUGUGCCCAGGACUGUAAGACGGAUACUACCCAGCAGAUGAAAAAAUCAGCAGUUGACACAAGAGACUUAACUUUCCCAAGAACCUCUAAUGGUCAAGUCAAGACCCAGGAUGCUCCCAUGAUGCCAGGCUGGGAGUUAACAACAAAGAAUAACGGCCAUGGAAGGAUGGUCCCCUUGCCAAUUGGCACUUAUCAAAGGACAUGGAGGGAGAGGGACAGAGUGCCUAGAUGUGAGCCUUCAUCAAGUGUUCUGAAGACCCUACCCCAAAGGAGAGUGCUCGGAGGAAGAAAUGACGCUCUGGAUAGGCCUUUCCUCAAAGCUGGAGCUGUCCAGGGGUGGCAAACAGGGUCCCUGGGAUGCCUCUUCCCUGUUGCUGAUUCCUACAAAUAAAGUUCUAUCGGAUACGGA